rnacentral:lncRNA from 1 species
CAGAUUCAAGAAUGAACUAAAUAAAAAUUAUGUGAUUUAGAGGGGUAAUAUCUAAUUUCAUACAUUCAAAAAACAAACAGGAAUUUUUAAGCAUUCACUUGAACUUAUAAAGCUUCACUUUUUGUUCACUUUUUUUUCACUUGGGUUACUUUUCUCUCUUAUUUCAGCUGGCAUUUUUCUGGCACAACGUAGAAGUGGCAUGGCCCCCCUGCAGAGUAUUGGUUCCUAAGGAAUUUUAUUAGGAGAACUCUGAAACUCCAAGGCAGUUACAUUAUUACUAAAGAGGUUUCAUGGUGUUUUAUGGAGCUUCAGCAUUUCCUCUUCCAUGAAGAGAAAAGCUCCUGGGAAGAAGAUAUUCCUCAGGCAGUUUCACUUCUUCAGGAGACUGCAGAUGUGAUAAG